AUGGCGGCAACGGUGUUCGCCGGGGAGGGGGCCGCCGCGCGCGGCGGGUGCUCGGCGGAAUGCGCCGGCGGGAUCGAGAGGCCUCCGGAUCUCGGGAGCAGGGCGCGCGCCGCGGGGGACGGGUGCGCUAAGAGGAGCGUGUACCUCAUGGAGUGCGUGCCGCUGUGGGGCUGCGCCGCGGCGCGCGGCCGCGCCGCGGAGAUGGAGGACGCGUGCGCCGCCGUGCCGCGCUUCGCCGCCCUGCCGGCGCGGAUGCUCGCGAGCAGCCGCGAGCUGGACGGGAUCGGGGGCGACUUCGACGCCUCCGAGCUCCGGCUUCCGGCGCACCUGUUCGGCGUGUACGAUGGACACGGCGGCUCGGAGGUCGCAAACUACUGCCGGGAUAAGAUCCACGUCGUGCUAAGAGAGGUGCUGAGAGCUGGCAGGGGGUUGGGGGAAUUGGGGGAGGUGGACGUGAAGGAACCAUGGGAGAAGGUUUUCGGUGAUUGUUUCCAGAAGGUAGACGACGAGGUGUCGGGGAAAGCGAGCAGGCUUUCCAAUGGCCGUCCGGAGCCUAUUGCCGCUGAUAACGUGGGUUCCACCGCCGUUGUUGCGAUUGUCUGCUCUUCUCAUGUCAUAACUGCGAAUUGCGGAGAUUCACGCGUGGUCCUCUGCCGUGGGAAGGAGCCGAUUGCUCUGUCCGUCGAUCACAAACCUGAUAGGAAAGAUGAGCGUGCCAGGAUUGAGGCCGCAGGUGGAAAGGUCAUUGACUGGAAUGGUUAUCGUGUCUCUGGUAUUCUCGCAAUGUCACGGUCAAUCGGUGACCGAUACUUGAAACCAUUUCUGAUUCCAAAGCCAGAAGUCAGCAUUGUUGCUCGGGCAAAAGAUGACGACUGCCUCAUUCUAGCAAGCGAUGGUCUCUGGGAUGUCAUGUCAAAUGAGGACGCAUGCAAAGUUGCCCGGCGACAGAUCCUUCUGUGGUACAAGAAUAAUAACGACGGUGCGAAUUCUGAUGGAGGCAGCGAACCUACUAUGAACCCUGCUGCAAAAGCAGCCGCUGAUUGUCUCGUGAGGCUAGCGCUGUCGAAAGGGAGCGGGGACAACAUUAGUGUCAUUGUUAUUGACCUGAAAUCAAGAAAGAAGCCCAAGGGCAAAUCAUAA
rnacentral:rRNA from 1 species